rnacentral:rRNA from 1 species
UGUGUAGGCGGUUUGGUAAGUCUGGUGUGAAAUCUCCCGGCUCAACUGGGAGGGUGCGCCGGAAACUGCCGGACUCGAGUGCGGGAGAGGAGAGUGGAAUUCCUGGUGUAGCGGUGAAAUACGUAGAUAUCAGGAGGAACACCGGUGGUGUAGGCGGCUCUCUGGACCGUAACUGACGCUGAAACACGAAAGCGUGGGUAGCAAACAGGAUUAGAUACCCUGGUAGUCCACGCCCUAAACGAUGCAUAUUUGGUGUGGGUCAUUCAGUUGAUCCGUGCCGGAGCUAACGCGUUAAAUAUGCCGCCUGGGGAGUACAGUCGCAAGGCUGAA